AAGCGUCUGGAAAGGCGCGCGAUACAGGGUGACAGCCCCGUACACAAAAAUGCACAUGCUGUGAGCUCGAUGAGUAGGGCGGGACACGUGGUAUCCUGUCUGAAUAUGGGGGGACCAUCCUCCAAGGCUAAAUACUCCUGACUGACCGAUAGUGAACCAGUACCGUGAGGGAAAGGCGAAAAGAACCCCGGCGAGGGGAGUGAAAAAGAACCUGAAACCGUGUACGUACAAGCAGUGGGAGCCUCUUUAUGGGGUGACUGCGUACCUUUUGUAUAAUGGGUCAGCGACUUAUAUUCUGUAGCAAGGUUAACCGAAUAGGGGAGCCGAAGGGAAACCGAGUCUUAACUGGGCGUUAAGUUGCAGGGUAUAGACCCGAAACCCGGUGAUCUAGCCAUGGGCAGGUUGAAGGUUGGGUAACACUAACUGGAGGACCGAACCGACUAAUGUUGAAAAAUUAGCGGAUGACUUGUGGCUGGGGGUGAAAGGCCAAUCAAACCGGGAGAUAGCUGGUUCUCCCCGAAAGCUAUUUAGGUAGCGCCUCGUGAACUCAUCUCCGGGGGUAGAGCACUGUUUCGGCAAGGGGGUCAUCCCGACUUACCAACCCGAUGCAAACUGCGAAUACCGGAGAAUGUUAUCACGGGAGACACACGGCGGGUGCUAACGUCCGUCGUGAAGAGGGAAACAACCCAGACCGCCAGCUAAGGUCCCAAAGUCAUGGUUAAGUGGGAAACGAUGUGGGAAGGCCCAGACAGCCAGGAUGUUGGCUUAGAAGCAGCCAUCAUUUAAAGAAAGCGUAAUAGCUCACUGGUCGAGUCGGCCUGCGCGGAAGAUGUAACGGGGCUAAACCAUGCACCGAAGCUGCGGCAGCGACGCUUAUGCGUUGUUGGGUAGGGGAGCGUUCUGUAAGCCUGCGAAGGUGUACUGUGAGGUAUGCUGGAGGUAUCAGAAGUGCGAAUGCUGACAUAAGUAACGAUAAAGCGGGUGAAAAGCCCGCUCGCCGGAAGACCAAGGGUUCCUGUCCAACGUUAAUCGGGGCAGGGUGAGUCGACCCCUAAGGCGAGGCCGAAAGGCGUAGUCGAUGGGAAACAGGUUAAUAUUCCUGUACUUGGUGUUACUGCGAAGGGGGGACGGAGAAGGCUAUGUUGGCCGGGCGACGGUUGUCCCGGUUUAAGCGUGUAGGCUGGUUUUCCAGGCAAAUCCGGAAAAUCAAGGCUGAGGCGUGAUGACGAGGCACUACGGUGCUGAAGCAACAAAUGCCCUGCUUCCAGGAAAAGCCUCUAAGCAUCAGGUAACAUCAAAUCGUACCCCAAACCGACACAGGUGGUCAGGUAGAGAAUACCAAGGCGCUUGAGAGAACUCGGGUGAAGGAACUAGGCAAAAUGGUGCCGUAACUUCGGGAGAAGGCACGCUGAUACGUAGGUGAAGCGACUUGCUCGUGGAGCUGAAAUCAGUCGAAGAUACCAGCUGGCUGCAACUGUUUAUUAAAAACACAGCACUGUGCAAACACGAAAGUGGACGUAUACGGUGUGACGCCUGCCCGGUGCCGGAAGGUUAAUUGAUGGGGUUAGCGGUAACGCGAAGCUCUUGAUCGAAGCCCCGGUAAACGGCGGCCGUAACUAUAACGGUCCUAAGGUAGCGAAAUUCCUUGUCGGGUAAGUUCCGACCUGCACGAAUGGCGUAAUGAUGGCCAGGCUGUCUCCACCCGAGACUCAGUGAAAUUGAACUCGCUGUGAAGAUGCAGUGUACCCGCGGCAAGACGGAAAGACCCCGUGAACCUUUACUAUAGCUUGACACUGAACAUUGAGCCUUGAUGUGUAGGAUAGGUGGGAGGCUUUGAAGUGUGGACGCCAGUCUGCAUGGAGCCGACCUUGAAAUACCACCCUUUAAUGUUUGAUGUUCUAACGUUGGCCCCUAAUCGGGGUUGCGGACAGUGUCUGGUGGGUAGUUUGACUGGGGCGGUCUCCUCCUAAAGAGUAACGGAGGAGCACGAAGGUUGGCUAAUCCUGGUCGGACAUCAGGAGGUUAGUGCAAUGGCAUAAGCCAGCUUGACUGCGAGCGUGACGGCGCGAGCAGGUGCGAAAGCAGGUCAUAGUGAUCCGGUGGUUCUGAAUGGAAGGGCCAUCGCUCAACGGAUAAAAGGUACUCCGGGGAUAACAGGCUGAUACCGCCCAAGAGUUCAUAUCGACGGCGGUGUUUGGCACCUCGAUGUCGGCUCAUCACAUCCUGGGGCUGAAGUAGGUCCCAAGGGUAUGGCUGUUCGCCAUUUAAAGUGGUACGCGAGCUGGGUUUAGAACGUCGUGAGACAGUUCGGUCCCUAUCUGCCGUGGGCGCUGGAGAACUGAGGGGGGCUGCUCCUAGUACGAGAGGACCGGAGUGGACGCAUCACUGGUGUUCGGGUUGUCAUGCCAAUGGCACUGCCCGGUAGCUAAAUGCGGAAGAGAUAAGUGCUGAAAGCAUCUAAGCACGAAACUUGCCCCGAGAUGAGUUCUCCCUGACUCCCUGAGAGUCCUGAAGGAACGUUGAAGACGACGACGUUGAUAGGCCGGGUGUGUAAGCGCAGCGAUGCGUUGAGCUAACCGGUACUAAUGAACCGUGAGGCUUAACCUU
rnacentral:rRNA from 1 species